UGUUGACUUUUUUUUCUUUUUCUCACCCGAAACUCCAGAGCAAGAAAACCAAGCUCCCCCAUCGUUUUGCUGGAGCGAUCUCUCUAUCUCCCUGAGCUUAUGACUGAUCGUUCAUAAAUUUUUAUGUUAACUGGGUUUCUGCAGAAUGGAGCCACACAGAUGAAAAAGCCACAGCUUCUGCUUAAAGUCACAUAAAAGAAAUUAGGUUUAGUACUUGAUAGGGAAGAAAGAAGCAAGCCCUUUAACUCUCGACCUUCACCAUGCGGUCACCAGCCUCUCAGCCGAACUCCACCAGAAAGACAUCCAUUUUCUCGUGGAGCUCAUACAGAAUGCAGAAGACAAUGAAUACGAAGAAGGCGUAGAACCAACGCGGGAAUUUGUGAUGACAAAGGAGGACAUAACUGGGAGUGGAGCACCAGCCACUAUAUGGACUCCAUCUGCAGCGUAGGCUGUUCUCCAUCGGCGCGACGGCGGCGAAGCCACGAGUUUUCCGUAACAAAGAAGGGGAAGGAGGCAGCAGGGCUUUUAUUGGAGAAAAAGGAAUUGGAUUUUAAUGUGUGUUUCUUGUGAGUUCACAGCCAUGGAUAUUUAGCAAUGGAUAUUGUGUCAGAUUCAUGAAAGAACCUGGAAUAUGUUGCAGCCAACUGGAAUCAACAUUUACGAGGUACUCUCAAGCAGAAAUUGACCAAAGUACCUGCCACAAUGUCUGGUGGAGAAAAUACUUCUAAUCCGCAGAGAGGAAGUAUUCAUUGCUGAUGACUUGCGACUCAAGAAAGUUUUCUCAGGCUGUGAAAAAUUUCCUCUGUUUGUUUGCUUUCCCAAGAGUCACAGCUUGUCUUAUAUUUACCCAGGAAGACUACAAGCAAUCUACGAAUCUCUUGGAGUUAGAAAGAUUUCUGAGUCAAUUGAGUGCAAAGUGAACGGCAUUGAGUCGUAAGAGCAGUGGGAAAAGAUUGAUGCGAGGAAUGGAUUGAUCGGGAGGGGUUUAGUCAAGACUAUUCUGGCUUUUCUUGCUGGUCCUGAGGUAAAUAUGUCACUAAGAGACAGACACGAGGCCGCAAAUUCGGUAGUUAUGCUGUCACUAAUGCCAUCUGCAGCGACAACCGUGGAAGUGAAAAAAACAAAAGCUGGUUCUUUGGGAGACGGAUUCACAGCGGCUGCUCAUUGAUAAAUCAGGUUCCGAAGGACAAGAAUUGAUCUAGAGUUUCUUACUUCUUUUGCUAUUGAACUCGCGCAAGAACUUUUGGCACCAGCAAAACCUACUAGAGCAGAUAAAUUGAGCAAGCUUAUCCAAAUGGGAUUUAUGUUUGAUAUUAGUGAGGGUGAAGUGGAUUGUGUGCUGAUGAAUGAGAACUUGGGAGUUAUUUGUGGAGGAUGAGCAGUUUCUUAAAGCUGCAUUCGUCACUUCUGGAGAACUUGGUCGGGUUUAUGAAAAGAAUUCUGGUACCAAGUUAGAGCAAUUAGGCCCUUCCACGCCAAUGCCUUUAUGCAAGAAACAGCGUCAGUGAAAACAAGGGAAUCGACCUUCUAUUUUUAUUCAUGGCUUGAAUUAUGAUCAGGUUUCGGAACCAUGAAGUUUUAUUUGGUUGUAUUUUAUUGUAAUCCUCGAUGUAUAUAUGGACCUGAAGCCAGGGAUUUAUGACCUUUUAGAAUGCUCUGUACUGUAAAAUGAUUACAUCUGAGCAGCUUGGCCCUUGUUUGUGUAGCAGUACCUUGACCAACCCCAGGUCCAAUAGAAGCAAGCCUGAAAGCCAACCCAGCAGCAAUAACGGGAGCGGCGUAGUUCUCCUCUUGUAUUGUGUCUUCUCUGUUACUAAAAUUUUACUUUUC